AUACGGAGGGUGCAAGCGUUAAUCGGAAUUACUGGGCGUAAAGCGCGCGUAGGCGGUUUGAUAAGUCGGAUGUGAAAUCCCCGGGCUCAACCUGGGAAUUGCGUUCGAUACUGUCAGGCUAGAGUGUGGUAGAGGGAAGUGGAAUUUCCGGUGUAGCGGUGAAAUGCGUAGAUAUCGGAAGGAACACCAGUGGCGAAGGCGGCUUCCUGGACCAACACUGACGCUGAGGUGCGAAAGCGUGGGGAGCAAACAGGAUUAGAUACCCUAGUAGUCC
rnacentral:rRNA from 1 species